rnacentral:tRNA from 3 species
GCGCUCGUAGCUCAGCUGGAUAGAGCACUUGGCUACGAACUAAGGGGUCGGGAGUUCGAAUCUCUCCGAGCGCACCA